rnacentral:rRNA from 1 species
AUGAACGCUGGCGGCGUGCCUAAUACAUGCAAGUAGAACGCUGAAGGAAGGAGCUUGCUCUUUCCGGAUGAGUUGCGAACGGGUGAGUAACGCGUAGGUAACCUGCCUGGUAGCGGGGGAUAACUAUUGGAAACGAUAGCUAAUACCGCAUAACAGUAGAUGUUGCAUGACAACUAUUUGAAAGGGGCAAUUGCUCCACUACCAGAUGGACCUGCGUUGUAUUAGCUAGUUGGUGAGGUAACGGCUCACCAAGGCGACGAUACAUAGCCGACCUGAGAGGGUGAUCGGCCACACUGGGACUGAGACACGGCCCAGACUCCUACGGGAGGCAGCAGUAGGGAAUCUUCGGCAAUGGACGGAAGUCUGACCGAGCAACGCCGCGUGAGUGAAGAAGGUUUUCGGAUCGUAAAGCUCUGUUGUAAGAGAAGAACGAGUGUGAGAGUGGAAAGUUCACACUGUGACGGUAUCUUACCAGAAAGGGACGGCUAACUACGUG